rnacentral:snRNA from 2 species
GUGCUCACUUUGCCAGCACAUAUAUUAGAACUGGAACGAUCCAGAGAAGAUUAGCAUGGCCCCUGCACAAGGAUGACACACAAAAUACACAAGGAUAAAGUGCUUUC